UCACAGUAAAUAGCCAUGAGGAAUUCGGCUCCUGAUGAAGGACAUGUAAGCAGCACAGUCCAGAUGAUCAGACGGGAUGAGAACAUGUUGAAACGGUCCAGGAACCCGAGACGGAUUAAAAAAUGACAGCAAGUCUUAGCUGCCCUAUGGACACACACACACACACUGAUCGCACUUUAAAUAAACACGCUGGUUUCCAGGAAUGUCUGUGAAAUUCUCUCAUGUCAAUAAAUACUUCCAAACUUC